UGCGCUGCGGCGCGCUCUUUUCCCUGAAAAAAUGAGGCCUGGGUUUAAAAAAAAAGAAAGGGACCCCCCCAGCCCCCCCCAGAAACCCCCCUCUGAACUCCGUGCGCCGAGGAGUUUUCUCUUUACGCGUUUUCUUUUCACGCGCCCGCCGUCGCCGUGCUGGCCCACUCCGUGUACAAAGCGGCGUUUGGGUGCGCGGGGCAGGCGCAGGCACAAGCUCUCCCUGCAGCGCCAACGCUGCCCUUUCCCGGCAGCGCUGCGGGGAAUGUAGGCCGGCAGCGGGCCCUGAAGGUUUGCGGAGCUGAAAUUUGGGAAGAUGAGAAGCAAAACCGAGCAAAACAACAGAGGCGGCUCUGAUGAACGUCUUUGCAGCUGCUCUGAUCCUUCCAAAUUGCAGGGAAGCCGUAACAACCAUCGCUGCUGGUGGCGACUGGAUUCUGGUGCGGGGGAGGAAAUCGCUCAUCUGUGUGUGUGCACUUUCYGCUGAGGAGUUACAAACCUGGGAACUUGGUGAAGCCUUGAUGUGCCUUGAGGUCACUAAAACUGUAGUGGUGCUGUUCACUGCCGGGAGAAAUAMAGCAAACUGGUGCCAACCAGGAGAGCAGAGCUGGACGUGACCCGCAGCAUGUUAGCAGCCUUUUUACGUUGCGUCUCAUCCAAGGUCACGGCAAGCCCCUGCCCGAGGGUGGUGCUGCUCCUUAGUCCCGGCGUUGGUUGGGUCCUGCCGGAGCGGCACCGGGAGCGGCCCCRGUUUGCCUCCCAACCAUGGGGCUGGGAGCCCCGGCUGGGGCAGCCGAGCCGGGUGCCGGGUGCCACGGGCGGCUGCUGAGCCGGGGGACUGCAGGGCCCGCUCGGAGGAGGGCUGCACAAAACCCCCAUUUGUACUGCCGUAAUUCUUCAGCGUUAUGUUUGAUUUCAUCUGAAAGACUUCCUUAGCAGAAUUUUAGUUUAUCCUAGUAAUUUGGAUGCAAGGUUACUGAAGAAACUGUGACUUUAUUCAGAGAUUUUUGUACACAUGCUGAUUAAAUUACUCAUUAAGACUAAUUCAAAUGAUUAGGAGUGCUGAAAAUUGAAACCAAGACUCUCUUAGGCCUUGAAUAGGUAUUAACAGCAAGCCAACUGAAGUCCCAGAUAGCAUAUCUAUCCCCUUGGACAGGUAGUAUCCUCCUUGGAAGGAGAGGUAAAGUUAAAAGGUGACUUACUAGUGCCCAUCACUAAGACCCAGUCCUGCAAAGUAUGUAAUGGCCUACUUAUUUGUUAGCAGAGGUGAGGGCUUUGCUUUGGCUCUGAUAUGCCUCAGUUCAAGAAAGUAAAUUUAAAAACAGUAGUCUUACUGCUCUCCGUCUGUUGUCGUACUUUUUUUCAGUAACUUUUCCCUAUGUUGUUCUUGUGCCUUUGUUUCUUUUCCUUCAUUCGGUUUCCUAAAGGCUGUUCCUGUCUAUUUUCUCACUUGCCUUCAUCACCUUGAGCGUGCUCUAAAUAAACUUUCUAAUGUUCCUUGCUGGUUCCUGCCU
rnacentral:lncRNA from 1 species